GUGUCUGGGGACAAGAGCCGCAGAACCGCACGCGCGGAGAGACCAAACAGAAAAAGUGUCCUUCCCGUCGUUCCCCAGGGAAAAGAGAGCGUUGAAACUAUAAUACCUCAGUGUCGCGCCGCAUCGCCAACGUCUAGAACAACAGCGGAGAGGGAAAUCACAACAAAGCGAAAAUACUCUCCUGCUCGGCAGAAUAAAAACUCCGUAGUCCGCAUCGAUUCAGGCAGUUCUUGGAUCCCGCUCCAACCUGACGGACGCUACGACAACGACGAACACGGUCACAAUGAAGGCUCAUCUCGCUCUGUGUUUAUUCGCUCUGAUUGGCUGCUCAAUGGCAGCAAAACGUUUCCAGGAUGAGAGAUGUUAUCAAAACUACCCGACCGGUGCCUGCAGCACACCUGAGUUGAGGAAGGCUUGCGCCAUGACCCGCUGGCACUGUCGGGAUGAAGGGGUCGCAAUCGAAGCCAAGGACGACACCGAGCACAAACAAAUCACGGGUGAUUGCGAUGUCCAGGGCCCGAAAGUGUUCUGCAAGAGCGAGUCCGAGGCGAAGAAAUGCAACGCGGACAAAGCUUUCUGCAACAAUGUCGGUUACUGGCAUUUCUGAGCAUGAGCUCUUCCAGUGAUUCCGAAGCUGAGCUGACAGCCGCUGUCAGAGAAAUGAAUAAAGUUUUUGCAAUUUCCCAGAAGAACAA